CUUCUCAUCCUCCCCUUCAGAUAACACUUAUCUUCUGUGUUUCUUCUCCUGUGCAGACCUGCGUCCUUAGAAUACAGAGCAGGGGGGAGGGGAGGGGAGGAGCAGUGUACUCAGCUGGAUGAGAUGAGGGGGCAUGGCUUAUUCCUCUCAUGCAGACAGAGAAGAAAAAAAAAAGCUGUGACAUCUUGUCCACAACAGACUCAGAACUGUGGACAACAGUAAAAGAAAACCCUCUGAACUACAGAACUUCCUGCCCAACAAACAGCCACUACUCUGUCACCAACCGCGAGAGAUCCUUCUUUGGCAGCAGGACUCCCAGGCAUCACAGAUGCCACCAAUAUUCCAGUCUCCAAAGAAACUCCACUAUCUGCAACAAAGCAAUAACAGGGGGGAGAUCCUGCUUUAGAUAAUAUCACCAGAUUCUCAUCAGGACUGGAUCACUCCCCCUCCUGGAACCGGGCUUAGCAGCAGUUCCUCCUCUUCAUACUGAGUAACAAGCACAGCUCCUGUAUGUGGUCAGCCUUAGUAUGGUUAUCCAUUAUUCCCACUGACCUCUUCGGCAGAGUAAAGGUUACAGUGAGUGUACUGCGAUACUUUGAUGAAAUGACGUCAUACAGAAGACUCAUUUUACUGCUGCUGAUAUUUUGCCAGUUGCAUCAUUAACCCCACAGACAACGAUGGGCUGAAACUAUGGACCGAAAAAGAAAGAAGAAGAAGAAGACGACACCAAGUGUGCAUAUUGCCAGAGUCCGCAAGGCCUACUGGGAGAUCAGGCUCUAAGCCCGCAGAAUUGUGAAGAUAUCCUUGGACUACACUACAGGAUAUAACUCAUUAUCACUACUAGAUAAAUAAUACUCUCUUAUCUUUGUGGUUGUUUAUGUACAGCUGGAAUCAGGGCCUGGAAGCUGAACACAUCAUACAGUGUCAGCACUUCCUGUACCUUGUCAAAUAAACUUUAUUGACAUGA